UACGAACUGUGCAAACGUUAUUCGGAAUCACUGGGCUUAAAGGGUGCGUAGGCGGCCAUUUAAGUAGGGUGUGAAAGCCCCCGGCUCAACCGGGGAAUUGCGUCCUAAACUGGGUGGCUCGAGUGAGAUAGAGGUGUGCGGAACUUCCGGUGGAGCGGUGAAAUGUGUUGAUAUCGGAAGGAACGCCGGUGGCGAAAGCGGCACACUGGAUCUUAACUGACGCUGAGGCACGAAGCCAGGGGAGCGAACGGG
rnacentral:rRNA from 1 species